rnacentral:rRNA from 1 species
UACGUAGGGUGCGAGCGUUAUUCGGAAUUACUGGGCGUAAAGCGUGCGCAGGCGGUUCGUUAAGUCAGAUGUGAAAGCCCCGAGCUCAACUUGGGAACUGCGUUUGAAACUACAAGGCUAGAGUGUGGCAGAGGGGGGUGGAAUUCCACGUGUAGCAGUGAAAUGCGUAGAGAUGUGGAGGAACACCGAUGGCGAAGGCAGCCCCCUGGGUUAACACUGACGCUCAGGCACGAAAGCGUGGGGAGCAAACAGG